rnacentral:rRNA from 1 species
UUAAGCGACUAAGCGUACACGGUGGAUGCCCUGGCAGUCAGAGGCGAUGAAGGACGUGCUAAUCUGCGAUAAGCGUCGGUAAGGUGAUAUGAACCGUUAUAACCGGCGAUUUCCGAAUGGGGAAACCCAGUGUGAUUCGUCACACUAUCAUUAACUGAAUCCAUAGGUUAAUGAGGCGAACCGGGGGAACUGAAACAUCUAAGUACCCCGAGGAAAAGAAAUCAACCGAGAUUCCCCCAGUAGCGGCGAGCGAACGGGGAGCAGCCCAGAGCCUGAAUCAGUGUGUGUGUUAGUGGAAGCGUCUGGAAAGGCGCGCGAUACAGGGUGACAGCCCCGUACACAAAAAUGCACAUACUGUGAGCUCGAUGAGUAGGGCGGGACACGUGGUAUCCUGUCUGAAUAUGGGGGGACCAUCCUCCAAGGCUAAAUACUCCUGACUGACCGAUAGUGAACCAGUACCGUGAGGGAAAGGCGAAAAGAACCCCGGCGAGGGGAGUGAAAAAGAACCUGAAACCGUGUACGUACAAGCAGUGGGAGCACGCUUAGGCGUGUGACUGCGUACCUUUUGUAUAAUGGGUCAGCGACUUAUAUUCUGUAGCAAGGUUAACCGAAUAGGGGAGCCGAAGGGAAACCGAGUCUUAACUGGGCGUUAAGUUGCAGGGUAUAGACCCGAAACCCGGUGAUCUAGCCAUGGGCAGGUUGAAGGUUGGGUAACACUAACUGGAGGACCGAACCGACUAAUGUUGAAAAAUUAGCGGAUGACUUGUGGCUGGGGGUGAAAGGCCAAUCAAACCGGGAGAUAGCUGGUUCUCCCCGAAAGCUAUUUAGGUAGCGCCUCGUGAAUUCAUCUCCGGGGGUAGAGCACUGUUUCGGCAAGGGGGUCAUCCCGACUUACCAACCCGAUGCAAACUGCGAAUACCGGAGAAUGUUAUCACGGGAGACACACGGCGGGUGCUAACGUCCGUCGUGAAGAGGGAAACAACCCAGACCGCCAGCUAAGGUCCCAAAGUCAUGGUUAAGUGGGAAACGAUGUGGGAAGGCCCAGACAGCCAGGAUGUUGGCUUAGAAGCAGCCAUCAUUUAAAGAAAGCGUAAUAGCUCACUGGUCGAGUCGGCCUGCGCGGAAGAUGUAACGGGGCUAAACCAUGCACCGAAGCUGCGGCAGCGACGCUUAUGCGUUGUUGGGUAGGGGAGCGUUCUGUAAGCCUGUGAAGGUGUGCUGUGAGGCAUGCUGGAGGUAUCAGAAGUGCGAAUGCUGACAUAAGUAACGAUAAAGCGGGUGAAAAGCCCGCUCGCCGGAAGACCAAGGGUUCCUGUCCAACGUUAAUCGGGGCAGGGUGAGUCGACCCCUAAGGCGAGGCCGAAAGGCGUAGUCGAUGGGAAACAGGUUAAUAUUCCUGUACUUGGUGUUACUGCGAAGGGGGGACGGAGAAGGCUAUGUUGGCCGGGCGACGGUUGUCCCGGUUUAAGCGUGUAGGCUGGUUUUCCAGGCAAAUCCGGAAAAUCAAGGCUGAGGCGUGAUGACGAGGCACUACGGUGCUGAAGCAACAAAUGCCCUGCUUCCAGGAAAAGCCUCUAAGCAUCAGGUAACAUCAAAUCGUACCCCAAACCGACACAGGUGGUCAGGUAGAGAAUACCAAGGCGCUUGAGAGAACUCGGGUGAAGGAACUAGGCAAAAUGGUGCCGUAACUUCGGGAGAAGGCACGCUGAUAUGUAGGUGAAGCGACUUGCUCGUGGAGCUGAAAUCAGUCGAAGAUACCAGCUGGCUGCAACUGUUUAUUAAAAACACAGCACUGUGCAAACACGAAAGUGGACGUAUACGGUGUGACGCCUGCCCGGUGCCGGAAGGUUAAUUGAUGGGGUCAGCGCAAGCGAAGCUCUUGAUCGAAGCCCCGGUAAACGGCGGCCGUAACUAUAACGGUCCUAAGGUAGCGAAAUUCCUUGUCGGGUAAGUUCCGACCUGCACGAAUGGCGUAAUGAUGGCCAGGCUGUCUCCACCCGAGACUCAGUGAAAUUGAACUCGCUGUGAAGAUGCAGUGUACCCGCGGCAAGACGGAAAGACCCCGUGAACCUUUACUAUAGCUUGACACUGAACAUUGAGCCUUGAUGUGUAG